UUCACUUGAUUUUUAUCAUAUAUGGAGUAGCGUUAGUGUGCUAUUAGGAGUACGGUGGCUUUCGUGCUUAAUUUUGUGCUAUUUUUAAUUAUGGAACUUUCGAAUUGACGAUCGGUUUCGCUAGAUUUGAUCUAACGUAUUUGAAGUACCAAAAAAAUAAAUGUUAUGAUUUUUUGAUAUAAUUUAUUUAUUGAUCAAAAGGGUUAAUUAAAAAUCAAUUUAUUUUUAAUGGUUGAUGUGUAUGCUAUUUCUAUCGGAUAAAAUUUUGAUAGAAAAAUUUUGUACUAACUACAGCAUGAUCAAAAUCUUUGAUCGAAAUUUUUAGUACUAUAUUAUGAUUUUUUAUAAGAUUUUUAUUUUUAGCCAUCCAUAUUUAGUUAUUUCGAUCACUAGGUAAAUAAUAUCGAAAAUCUACAAAAUUUAUUUUCUACAUACUUCAAAUUUGCUAGAUCAAAACUAACGGAGCCGAUCGUCGAUUUAAAAUUUCUAUCAUCGAAAAUAGAUUUGAAGCACUGAAACCUCCAUAAUCCUAAUCGUACACUAGUCCUACUCUCUCUCUCUCUCUCUCUCUCAAUAUAUAUAUAGAAUUAUGCUACUAUACUAUCAAUAGUACCAAGUUCUUGGUACUAUUGAGUUUUCGGCCGUUGAAUGAANAUAGAAGCUCAAUUCUAUAUAUAUAUAUAUAUAUAUAUAUAUAUAUAUAUAUAUAUAUAUAUAUAUAUGUGGCUACGAAAAAGUGAAUGCGUCUAAAUUUCGGAUCACCGAUAUUGAAUGAUGCAAGAAAAGUUUAUUAGCCUCGAUGGAAUGCGACGAUCGGAGGGCGUUUCAUUUUUGGUGUUUCGAAUUCGAGCGCCAUUAGAUCAUAGAGCACGUUCAAUAACUUGGUUAUUUGUUUUUUGAGUGAAAAUUAAGCAAUUAGACUACAAAACAUUCAACUGAAAAGAGCUUAGAUCGGAGAGUUUCAACCACAUUCAGAAUUAGUACAGCACGAUCUCACGCGCAUCAUAAAAUUCAUCACCUGUCCGUCUUUAACAGUGAUACAAACUUAUAAAGACAUAAUUUUGGAUCCUUUCAAGAACUACUGUGGAAGCCGGAAACAUCACAACGUGUGAAAACCAAAGUUUAAAGAUUUUCUAAGAAUAAAUAUAAUCAGUAAACCGAGUAGCCAUAGGCAAGAGACUAAAAGUCACUUAGCUUUUUAGAUUCUCUAAAAACAAUAAAUCAUGAGUCUUUGUUCGCAAUGAUAAGGAGUCUUACUUCUUCGCUAAGCCCCGAUCUCAAAAAAAUAUUAUAUUCCAUUUCUGUAAGUAUACAGUAGAUCCGAACUAGUAAGAUUGUCGCGAGCGUUUGAUUUUGCCAACUUAGUUGCGAUUCUAUCAUCGAGAGACAAGAACCAUACUAUUCACUCCGUAGCUAGCCGAAGAGCCAAAUGAGCUCUCCAACUUCUUCUCCCUUCACGAAAAGGAAGCUUCUUUUUGUGAUUAGAAUAAUUAUAAGGAGUCCGCCUGGGAUACUAUCGAUUAUAUUAAGGAUUUGAUGCUAUCGAGUUUUCUACCGUUAGAUUUAAUCAUUUGAUUAUUUUUAUCCGUUAAAUUAUAUUAUUCAAUCAACCACUCACUCAACCCUAGAGUGUCUACAUCAUCCUAACCACACAUUUUUCAAUCCAAAGGAUAAAAAAUUAAUAGCACCAAUAGCUUGGUGCUAUUGAUAGUAUUUCAGUCUAGUUCUAAUUAUGAGUAUUUACGAGCUUUUUAAGAUUCUAUUAUUGAGGAAUGAGGAUGGCCCAAAAUGCAUAAUUAAUAACAAGAAGUUGUGCUGCACUGAGUUAGCACUAGAAUAGCAGAAAUUUUGGUUGAUUCCUCAAAUAGUUAAUGAAAGUGACAGGCACUGCAAGAUUGUUGCCCAGACAUUGGCAUUUCCUUCAUUUUUUGUCUCACAUUGAAAGUUUUGCCUGGUGAAAAAUGCUUUGGUACAAAGAUAUUAUCUGUACUAAUUAUUGAUCGGUAAAAAUGUUAGUAAAGAUCAUGCAGAAAUAACUAUUUAACUUGCACUUACUACCGAUAACCUCGUUAAGCGAGGGUGGACCAGAGACACAGUCUGUGUGCUCUACAGGGCCCACGAUGAGUCAGUGGACCAUCUAUUCACUCAAUGCGUUUUUACCAAGUACACCAUAGUGAUGGGACUCGAGGACGUUCGGGCGGAGGAAGUAGGUGACGGCGUGCUUGUAGUUUGGGAUAAGUAGAUGGGUGGAGCUACGGUGCGCGCUAGGAGGAAUGGACUUUCAGAAUUGGUCGCAUACUGAUGGACGAUUUGGAAGGCCCGGAACAAUCAUGUUUUUUGUAACCUACUGUUUGACCCUGAUUUAGCCGUUCAAAGGCUCAAGGCACUCCUAACUUCGUGGAAAGAUCUGCUAUGAAUUUUUUUUUUUUUUUUGGGGUGUUGUUUUUCUUGAGGUUCUUGUUGCCUCACCUCUGUAGUCAAAUUUAUCUAUUCAAUAAAUGAAGCAGGUAGCGUGCUACCUAUUCUCAAAAAAAAAUACUUCUUAUUUUGAUUACUACAGAAAUAUUCAUUUACUUGAUUUUAUGUUUUGUAAUUAUGAGAAACUAUUGUGUACACUUGGUGUACUAGUACAUUCUAAUGCUGCAUUUUUAUUGAUUAUUUGUUUUAUUUGAUUUUUCUAUCUCUAGCAGCCGAUAUGUUGUCGUUUUUUAGUUAAAAAUUGAGUAAUUGAAUUAACAACAUGAACUGCAGUAAAAAAAAAAAAUCUAUACAACAUUUUCAAAACAUGUUUACAAAAAAGAAAAUUUUCUUUUAGUACGAGCAUUAACAUAUUAAUUAAUAAUAUACAAAGAUAAUAUUCUGGAGAGCUUAUUGUUGUAUUGCUCUAAGUAAAAAAAUAGUAAAUGCUUUGGAUUAUCUUAACUAUCAUCCUUUCCGGUCACUACAAUAUAAUUGGUUAAUUAUUUUGUUGUUAAAUAUUGUUAGUACUCAUAAUAUAGAGCAUUCCGAUUGAUUUAUAGAUUCAACUCAAAACAUAAUGUGUAAUUUUUUCAAAAAAAAAAAAAUAUUAAGAACCUAUAUAAACAAUAUUUUGGAGGACUCUAGGGAAUGGGAAAAUUUUUAUCACUGUACGAUAAGUUUUUCGUUUGUUUUGUUAAGUGAUACUAUGAUGGACAUAUCGCAAUGGAUAUAUUAAUUACGGUUACUCCAAAAAAUAUAUAUUUUUACGUCCUCAACCUCAUUAUAUAUAUAUAUAUAUAUAUAUAUAUAUAUAUAUAUAUAUAUAUAUAUAUAUAUAUUCCGAUCAUUGAUUAUUAAUCUUUAAAAUGAUUAAAUUCUCAUUAUCUUCUCCCUCCCCAUGCUUGUCCAGCCCAGAAAAACUUGCUUUUUAGCCCGGGCUCAUGCGAUACCCACUUUGGGCCCGAUCCAAUAACGGCCCAAUAUCGAUGGGCUUGGGUUUUUAUGCCUUGUUGAGGCCCAAUCCUAGUAAACCCAAAAGGCCAAUUGCUUGGUUAUUACUAAUUGGUCUAAGUCGUCAGGAACUUAGAAAAAUUUCGGUUCCACCCAAAUCCGUAGUACGGAUUUUUGUGAGCAAAAUUACUAAGUCCGUGACAAAGCGCUUGUUUAGCUCGGCUCGUGCAACAUCUUUUCCGCGUAGAGGAAGAUGCUUAGUAAACGAAAAAAAAAGAAAAGAAAAAAGACAAGAGUUUCGGAUUUUGGUCUGUAGUUCUAGACUACUGGCGAAUUUUAAUUUAUGAUUAUUUCAAAUAAACUUUAAUUUUUUUGAACAUAGGUUAGUUUAUUGGUUAUUAAAGAUUUAGAUAAAUUCAACUAUUAUUUUGUUAGAUCUAACCAUAAAUUCUAAAUACAGAUUUCGUUAACUGUUAAGGCUAGCAGCUAAUAACAAUGUUAAUUUUAAAAUCCUCAAUUAAUUCUCAAAAUUCCAACUAAAAAAAUGUUAAAAAGCAUUUACUAAUAAGUCUAUUUUUAACCUGGUCUAUUGGUAAGGUGUCCUCAUUAAUUAAUUAGUUAAAAAAAAAAAAAAUGUUCAUCCACAGUAGCGUACUCCCCGUAACGCCAUCACCAUCACGCUUGCUAGAUGUUCAAACUAUCAAUCUAGAUGUUCAAAGAGAAGUUAUUGCCUGCACCUGUUGUUUAAGGAGUACGUCUGGUAUACUUCUAGAAGCACGGAGCGCUCCGUGCUUCCAAGUUGUUUUCGAUGUUGGGACUUUCGAAUUGACGAUCAGCUCCGUUAGAUUUGAUCUACAGUAUUUUAAGUAUUUAGAGAAUAAAUUUUGCAAUUUUUUGAUAUCAUUUGCCUAGUGAUCGAAGUGGCUUAAAAUUAACGACUGAAAAUAAAAAUCUUACAAAAUAUGAUGAUAUGACAUUAAAAUUUUAGAUCAAAAAUAUUGAUCUUGUUUUCUAUAGUAUAAAGAAUUUUCUAUCAAAAUUUUAUGUGAUUUGAAUAUUUCUACACCGCUAAACUUGCAAAUGGCACACCAUGGCCAUUAAAAUUAUUGAUUUUGAGCCUCUUUAAUCACUAGGCAAAUGAUAUCGAAAAAUCACAAAAUUUAUUUUUUACGUACUUCAAAUACUUUAGAUCAAGUUUAACGGAGCCGAUCAUCAAUUCGAAUAUCCCAAUAUCGAAAACGAUUUGGAAGCAAGAAAGCUCCGUGUUUCCAGAAACAUACCAGUUUACUCGUUGUUUAAGUACAAUUAAUACACCGCACCGUCAAAAUUCUAUCAUAAAAAAGUCUACCGUAUCAAUUGAUACAGUUACACUCUAUUUGCAAUUCGAAUUGUAGCAGUUUGAUUCGAGUAUAUCAAACUAAACAAUAUACUUACAUCAAUAUGCAGUUAUAAUUCCAGUGGCUAAAUUACGGAAAACCCUCCUGUCAAAACUUGCUUUUUCACUUUCCCCUCCUGUCAUUUAAAAAUCUAUACUUUGCUCCCUUAUAAAAUAAAAAAUGUUCACAAGGGGGUAUGGUGUGACAAAAUGACCAUUUUGUCCUUCGCCAUUUUCGUCUUCUCCCUCAUCCUCCUCAUCCGCGGCGGAGGAGGCCGACCUCGGGCGGGACGCAGGCGACGACGCCGUCGUCGAGGAGGACGAUCUCGUUGAGGGUGUCGGCCAUGCGGCCGAUGGAGGGCGGGAUGCAGCUGCCGAGUUUGUUGUGGGCGAUGACGACAAUGGAGGCCGGGGAGUCGCCGAGGUUGGAGGGGAUGGGCCGGCGGCGGCGGAGGCGGUUGGAGUUGAGGAAGAUGGCGUCGAGGGGCAGUCGAAGAGGAGGUUGAGCUCGUGGAGGAGGGCGAGGCCGGCGAGGGCGCCGUCCCGGAAGCCAUCGAAGCAACAAGAAAGAGGGGCGGAGGGGUAUUUUUGGCAUAAAAAUAAAUAUUAUAACGGAAACCUAACAGAACCCUAACGGUAGGAGGUGAAGUGCACAUUUUUUAUUUUACAAGGAGGCAAGGUGUAGAUUUUUAAAUGACAAGGAGGGAAAGUGAAAAAGCAGGUUUUGACAGAGGAGUUUUCUGUAAUUUAGCCUAGUUUUAAUUAUAUAUAACCAAAUAGUUUCUUAUUA
rnacentral:lncRNA from 1 species